rnacentral:rRNA from 1 species
AAUCCAUAGGUUAAUGAGGCGAACCGGGGGAACUGAAACAUCUAAGUACCCCGAGGAAAAGAAAUCAACCGAGAUUCCCCCAGUAGCGGCGAGCGAACGGGGAGGAGCCCAGAGCCUGAAUCAGCAUGUGUGUUAGUGGAAGCGUCUGGAAAGGCGCGCGAUACAGGGUGACAGCCCCGUACACAAAAGCGCAUGUGCUGUGAGCUCGAUGAGUAGGGCGGGACACGUGGUAUCCUGUCUGAAUAUGGGGGGACCAUCCUCCAAGGCUAAAUACUCCUGACUGACCGAUAGUGAACCAGUACCGUGAGGGAAAGGCGAAAAGAACCCCGGCGAGGGGAGUGAAAAAGAACCUGAAACCGUGUACGUACAAGCAGUGGGAGCACCCUUUGGGUGUGACUGCGUACCUUUUGUAUAAUGGGUCAGCGACUUAUAUUCUGUAGCAAGGUUAACCGAAUAGGGGAGCCGGAGGGAAACCGAGUCUUAACCGGGCGUUAAGUUGCAGGGUAUAGACCCGAAACCCGGUGAUCUAGCCAUGGGCAGGUUGAAGGUUGGGUAACACUAACUGGAGGACCGAACCGACUAAUGUUGAAAAAUUAGCGGAUGACCUGUGGCUGGGGGUGAAAGGCCAAUCAAACCGGGAGAUAGCUGGUUCUCCCCGAAAGCUAUUUAGGUAGCGCCUCGUGAAUUCAUCUCCGGGGGUAGAGCACUGUUUCGGCUAGGGGGCCAUCCCGGCUUACCAACCCGAUGCAAACUGCGAAUACCGGAGAAUGUUAUCACGGGAGACACACGGCGGGUGCUAACGUCCGUCGUGAAGAGGGAAACAACCCAGACCGCCAGCUAAGGUCCCAAAGUCAUGGUUAAGUGGGAAACGAUGUGGGAAGGCCCAGACAGCCAGGAUGUUGGCUUAGAAGCAGCCAUCAUUUAAAGAAAGCGUAAUAGCUCACUGGUCGAGUCGGCCUGCGCGGAAGAUGUAACGGGGCUAAACCAUGCACCGAAGCUGCGGCAGCGACACUGUGUGUUGUUGGGUAGGGGAGCGUUCUGUAAGCCUGUGAAGGUGUGUCGUGAGGCAUGCUGGAGGUAUCAGAAGUGCGAAUGCUGACAUAAGUAACGAUAAAGCGGGUGAAAAGCCCGCUCGCCGGAAGACCAAGGGUUCCUGUCCAACGUUAAUCGGGGCAGGGUGAGUCGACCCCUAAGGCGAGGCCGAAAGGCGUAGUCGAUGGGAAACGGGUUAAUAUUCCCGUACUUGGUGUUACUGCGAAGGGGGGACGGAGAAGGCUAUGUUGGCCGGGCGACGGUUGUCCCGGUUUAAGCGUGUAGGUGUGUGUUCCAGGUAAAUCCGGUUCACUUUAACACUGAGGCGUGACGACGAGGCACUACGGUGCUGAAGCAACAAAUGCCCUGCUUCCAGGAAAAGCCUCUAAGCAUCAGGUAACAUCAAAUCGUACCCCAAACCGACACAGGUGGUCAGGUAGAGAAUACCAAGGCGCUUGAGAGAACUCGGGUGAAGGAACUAGGCAAAAUGGUG